rnacentral:rRNA from 1 species
CUACGGGUGGCUGCAGUGAGGAAUAUUGGUCAAUGGACGAGAGUCUGAACCAGCCAAGUAGCGUGAAGGAUGACUGCCCUAUGGGUUGUAAACUUCUUUUAUAUGGGAAUAAAACGUUCCACGUGUGGGAUUUUGUAUGUACCAUAUGAAUAAGGAUCGGCUAACUCCGUGCGAGCAGCCGCGGGCAUACGGAGGAUCCGAGCGUAAUCCGGAUUGAUUGGGGUUAAAGGGAGCGUAGGUGGAUUGUUAAGUCAGUUGUGAAAGUUUGCGGGUCAACCGUAAAAUUGCAGUUGAAACUGGCAGUCUUGAGAACAGUAGAGGUGGGCGGAAUGCGUGGUGUAGCGGUGAAAUGCUUAGAUAUCACGAAGAACUCCGAUUGCGAAGGCAGUUCACUGGACUGCAACUGACACUGAGGCUCGAAAGUGUGGGUAUCAAACAGGAUUAGAUACCCCAGUAGUC